AGGGGUUCGUCCGAGGAAAGUCCGGGCUCCACAGGGCAGAAUAACGGCUAACGGCCGCCGGGGGCGACCCUAGGGAAAGUGCAACAGAGAUAUACCGCCGCUUUUGCGGUAAGGGUGGAAAGGCGAGGUAAGAGCUCACCAGCAUGCGGGGAACCGCAUGGCUCUGCAAACCCUAUUCGGAGCAACACCGUGGAGGGACAUGAUGCGUCGGCCCGGCGCGUCCCGGGGAGGUGGCAUCGAGCUGGCGCGGCGACGCCCAGCCAAGAUAGAUGGCUGUUCACGACAGAACCCGGCUUAUGGUCUGG
rnacentral:RNase_P_RNA from 1 species